GUUUAAUAGGCAGACAUUUAAAGAGAAGCUUUUAUUGAACUGACUGUAGCAUACUUGUCAUCUUCCUAAAAUGACUUCAUUUCUAUGAGAUCGUGACGUGCAGGCAGUCACUUUCUAACAUCAGUCGAAGGGAACGGAAAGUUUCUAAUUUGAAAGGGGCGGACGGACCUCCAAGGGGGGUGAGCUUUGGGGGUGGGGCUUAAGGAAUGAGGAGACUAAAAGUGACAGACGGUGGUGACAAAUAAAGUGGACGAAGACGUGAAGUAGUUGAGACCGGAAAGCUGCAGGUCUUCGAGUUUUGGAGGUGCGCUCCGUUUGUAAAGGAACCGAACUGAGCGAUAAACUUGACGAGGCCCCGUCAGCUGUGAGCCCCCCCGGUCUUAUUUACACGGAUCGCUACAAUACCAAUGAUUAAACAGAAGAUUAAAAAUCAUGGGGGCUAGGAGCUCGUGCGGACUGUGCUGACACUUUUGUUUUGUGACAUCAUCUCAGUAAAGAGAGUUCGGGACGUUACAAAUGACAGCUAUUUUGAUAACUUAUAUGGGCAACAGAUUAUAAUUUUUUUUUUUUUACUGUUUUUAUUUUAAUUCAAUCAAAAUUAUUUUAAAACAUAUUACCAGUGUUCAUUGCUCGUGCAGAUAUGUAACGUUUGGUCAGAAUAAACAGAAAAGUACCAAAAACAUAUAGUAGUUCUGAUGCGUUUCACCGACAAUCAACACAAAUCCUCGUCUGUCUGAGUGUCCGGCCGGUGAGCCGGCUUAUGACCCUCGAAGGUGGACGCCGUCCGAGGUCUCCGCUGCAUUUGGUGCCGGCAUAGUGUGUGUCAGUGCGGCUGCAGCACACGGAGAGGUGACCGACGAGAGCUCAAGUGAUGGACACCUCUUCACCCUGAUGCCCGGGCUCUUCUAUCAAAUAUUCCUCUCUUGUGCUUUUUUCAUUCUUGCCACUUUAGGAUUAUUAGCAUUAUUGAAAACGUAUGUAAAUAAAAUGUCUGUCUUUUUUGUGAAUGACAGAAGGAACGAUGAAGGAUUGAAUGAAACGCAGCGUUGAUGAUCGGUGUCAAGUGGCAGCAGGGGUCAGCUUUGGGUGACUCGGCUGGUCAUUUAAAUGUGUCGGUGAAUGGACGAUGAGUUAAGAAUGUAGACGGGAGAGCAGCUCGGUGUGAUUCCGUUUACCUGAUUGCUUUAUUCUGCUGUGCUACCGUCCGGACGAUUUCUAAUUUACUGAUCCCUCGACAGACAGCCUUUGGCCAGAUUCUCUCACAAGGCGCUGGUGUUUUUGAAAGUCUGGCGCCAGGAUUUCCUUAACCAGUUGCUCUUUCUGGCAGUCCCGGGGCUCCCGAUAACUGAUGUGGACGCGGCCGAUGGCAACGACUCAGCGUGAAAGACGACAUUUGGUUGUGUCGAGAGCACAGAGGAUUACAGCUUACAGCAGAUAAAACAGCUUCCAUGUGGCCCUGGAGGACAUUUAUAGCACAGACUGCAUCAGGAAAACCACCCACAUCUGCUUGAAUUCAACUCACCCAUGCCACAGUCUAUUUGAACUUCUUCCAUCCUGCAAACACUUCAGAGCCUUUCCUGCACAGAACUCAAGGCUCAGAAACAGUUUCAUCCCAAGAGGUCAAUCAGUCCUUCAAGAUCUCCCGGUAGAACGGAAAAUUAGCUUAUGGAGGAGAUGCAUAUUGAGUCAACUGUGCUGGAUGACAAUUCAGUCUUUGGUGAAGAAGACCCCCUUCACAACAUUUAACCAAACCAAGAUCACUCUCUUGGAGGUAGACCUAUCAUUUUCAAAAUCUGCAAUCAAGAGAAGACUACAUGAAAGUAAAG